rnacentral:pre_miRNA from 7 species
UUUUCUGACACCCACUGAAAGACCCCCGAAGGGAGACCCUCACUCAAGCACUCAAGCCCCGGGACAGCCGCGGACCCAAGAAGACACUGAGACCG